GUGAAUCAUCAAAUUUUUGAACGCAAAUUGCGCUUCUUGGCAUCCCGGGAAGUAUGCCUGCUUGAGGGUCAGUAUUAAUAUAAAGUCGGGUUAGUUACAAAUUGUGACGUUUUCGGUGUCUGGGCUAUUUUACCAUUUUUGGUUAAGAGGCUUAAAAUUGACCUCUUUUGCGCACUUAUAAACGUACAUAUAUUUUUUUUGUUCGUCUAUUCUUAAUGCCAAAAUCUUAUUAUAUGCGAUCAUAUCGUCUGGCUUCGUCUC
rnacentral:misc_RNA from 1 species